rnacentral:snRNA from 1 species
AGAUAUGAGGUCAAUCUGGCUGUGACAUCUGUCACCACAUUGAUCACCAGGGUUGAUUCGGCUGCUCUGGCUGGCUAGGUGGGUGUCACCUUGCUGCCUCAGAGCUCCAUGGGAGUCCCUCCUGAAGCUGCAUGCUCCAUCCAAGGGGAUGACCUUUCCUGAUAGAGGGAGACCUUUUCUAGUCAGGGAUAUACCUGUGCCUGUGCUCCCCUGCUAGAACUUCCAAACAGGCUCUCAAAUGUUAAUUGGCCGCUAUUAAUGUUAGUGGGCUUAUUUGGUGUUGCUUCCUCCUCAAAAGAAGUAGCCUACCUGGUUAUUUUUUUGA